UUCUGGAUGCGGACCUCGGACUGUGAGUAGUUCUAACAGAUUUUGCAGUGUUAACACUACUUGUCAUAACAUGCUUCUCAGAUAUGACAGGAAUUGCUCUCGGAUGUUGUCUAGCUGUCUCUUUGUAACCUUCAGGAUCUUCAUCUUCAUCAUCCUCAUCCUCUAAGCUAACACCCCAUGAAGGUGUAGCAUUGCCAUCCUCAUUAUGCUUCUUCUUGCUGAGAGUGCUUCGCCAUUUCUUGGCCUUCUCUUUCACUUUGGCAAGAACAGAUUUUCUAGGUGUUGGGGUAUGGUCUUCCUCCAUGUCAUGUUCCCUCCCGAAUGUCUGUGAAGUACGGAUUGACCACCUUGAACCAUCCGAUCCUGUACGCACCAAACCUCACAGAAAUUACAAGAGAUGGUACGUAGCAUACGCAUUAAUCAUAUAAGCUUUAGUCACAGAGUUAUGUUUGUUACCUCGCAGAAGUUGUUCUAUUGUUGGGGAGGUUGGAGUUCUUGGGGCUUCGCCCUGUCUGUUUAUGCCAUCAAAUUGGGAUAUCGCUCCAGUUCUUGAUUGAGGGUGUGCCAUAAUUAUGGUUUCAGCAUCUCUUCCUAGACCCUGUUUACAAUUGGAAAUGGAAAUUUAAAAGAGCAAUGCUCAAGCACCAUCUUCGCAGUUCUUGAUUAGACAGAAAAUGAGCCACAUAUCUUUCCGAAGCUUUUGGAAUCCAUUUUUACACAUGGCAAUAAACAUCAUACACUUUUAUUUGAUUCU